UCAUCUGCAGCAUCAAAAUUACUAUUUUGUGCUUAGCUUAGAUAUGAAACUUUUUUUUUUUUUUUUUUUAAUUAAAUUUACUAUUUAUUUCUGUCAUCUGAGACACAAAGUUAAAAUGCGGAUGCUGUAACGGCACGAUUCCGAUUAUCAGAGUUGAGGGUAUUUUGUCCUCUGGAGUUCCAUGUACCGUGUAAAAGCGAGAUGCCAAAAAAAAGGAGCAAAAAUGAUGGGCCCCAAAGUUGCAGCGCAGAACACGUCCGAUGACUAUUUGGAGCAGUUCCUUUUUAAUCAACUCUGUAAAAGCUGAUCUUUUGGCAUUAUAUAACAUACAGUGACAGACGCCACCUGCAGCGAAACACGAUCACGGUGUGGCCACAAUGGAAGCUGUUCAUCUCAGCAUGGCUCGCAGCCAAAGAGCUGUUGAAUUUGCCUAGAGCCUGGGUGGUGGCCCAGGGGUACGAGAAAGGCUUGGACCUCCUGGCUGCAAGUGCCUUCGUUCACUGUUCUCGAACACUUACCUGACACAUUGUAGACGGUGGAUUCCAAGAAAGGAUAUGAUUCCAAAGCUGUUUUUUUUUUUUUCUUUUUUCUUCCAGUUUCAGACACCAAAACCUGGCCGCUUGUGACCGCUUAAUGACUCCAUCUUUCAGGCAAAGCGGAAAAAAACUCGUUUAUUAAUGAAGGGUUGGAAUGAUGCCUCAAACUGGGCGGUACAUUGGAGAGGCUUCCUCUGCUCCUCUGCGAGACUUGAACGCUGUCCAGUGAUGGAUGCUGCCACUUAGAACUUACCAUCCUGGUCUCCACACCGUGCUUCGAUAUGGCUUUCUGGCCAGGAUGCAGCCUGCAUCACGGCUUUGGACUAAAGGGAUUGGUUUUUGGAUCAUCACCCUGAUCCGGGUUGGAUGAGCAGACAGCACCGGAGGGUGGAUGAAUAGAUUUAUCAGCUAUUGUCCUGUCAUAGCUGAAGUUCCGAAACAUGCAACAUUAAAAUGUCUACAUUUAUUUCUGACACCACAGCACCUUCUUGAACCCAUGCAUGAGGUGAUAUAGUCCUAAUGAGUGCUUAAACCCUGGAGCCCCAUCUAGCCAGCUUUGUUACAGUACUACUGCUGCGUCUCUCUUUGGUGUUAUGACUUCUUACAGCUGAGGUCCUCAACCUUUUAUAAGCCAUGGUUUCCUUUAAGAAUUUGAUGAAAGCUAAGAACCCCCUCAUGGAAAAAUGUCCAUAAAUAAAUGGGAGAAAAUAUCGUAACA
rnacentral:lncRNA from 1 species